CCUCUCCUUUUUAAAAUUUAUAUGCCUUUUGAGAACUCUUUAAGAUUCCUUGAUGAUUUUAGUAUUAAAUAUAAAAUCUUUACCAUGGACUAUAAAUUCUUGAGUAAUUCAUGUCACUUCUUUCCUAUUUCUCCAGCUCUGUCUCACACCAUAUGUCUCUUGGCCCCCCAUGGCCCAGCCGCACCCACCUUCUUAACAGAUGGCUACAUACUGUGAAGCCUUUAUCUAUGAUGCCAUCUGCCUGCGAUUUGCUUUCCCCACUGUUCUUCUUCUAGCUAACUUUAUUUAUUUGUUUGAUCUCAGCUAAAAUGUUCCUUCUGUAAGGAAGCUUCACCACACGACCUAGAUUAAGUUCAGUCUCCUGGCACCUCUGGGGCUGGUCAGUAUUGUGAGUAGCUGCCAUGUUGCCCGAACUGUACAGAAGCUACAGAGGACAGAUACCAAGCAAACUCAGGGAACAGACAGUGAGCACUGGAAAAGGUUUGCAGCAGGACAUUUAGGGCAUGAAGAAUUAAAAGAAAUGAGCAGAAUGUUCCUUAACUAAUCUGCUCUUUGGUCUCCUGAGAGGAGCACCAGACACUGCUUCUGUCAGAGAGUGCAUUUGUGAGUUAUUGGGGAUUCCACCCCCACCUGGAAAUGGUCUAACAUGGACAAUUUGUUCUUCUGCUGACUUCUAGCAACUGCCUUUGCGGAGAUACAGGCUGAGGGCACAAGUGCCUUACAUCUUCUGUGGCACCUACUUGGCCUUGUGAGAUAUGCCCUCAUCCAAAAUGUGAAUGUGCCAUAGGACACCCUGUCCCUUCCUCGUGCUGCCAUCACAAAACCGCUUCAGGAUGUUGAAGGCAAGAGGCAGGCACCAGAACUGGUCUGGCCACGUUCGGCUUCACCUUCAAACUCUUGAGGACACACGCCAGACUUUCCUACAACUCUGUCACCAUGCUGGUCCCACUGUAGCACAGGGCACCUGUAAGUGUGGGCAGUGCAACAGGAGAGUGCUACUCAUUCUGUCCUUGAAACUGGCUCCAAUUUCUCUGAACUCUGAACCUGGCCACUGCGUGCAAAAUAAGUUUAGUCUGCAAGCGCUCUCACUCAGGCGGAUGACUCCCUUUCUGCAGGAUUCCUCCCCAAACGUCUAGUGCUCUCUCCACGUCAGAGCAUAGCUGAUUGAGGUCACUGAAGGUUGAGGAGUCAGAGUUUAUCAGGCCACUUAUUAUUAAAUCCUGCACAGACUGUCCAUUCUUUGGAAUCUAGAAGUAACCAUCAUGUACUGGGAUUGAACAAAAACUCUAAGACAUGAGAAAACAUUCAGUCUAGCUCCUAUGAAAAUUAUCCAUUACAGAUAGAAAAAAAGUAGAUCAAUUAUAAAAGGAGUUAGUAUAACCUACAGAUCUCAGUAAGCUGGGUGUGACAGACAAUAACAAAUACACAUAAAAAUUCAACAUAAUUUCAGUUUGAAACAAGGACCUGAAUAAAAGUGAAGACGUUGAAGAAUGAAAGGAGAACUCAAAGAAGCCGAAAAGAAAAAUGAACGGAAAUAUGUUUUACUGAUAUACAAAUGCAAUGGGCCUCAACAGCUCGAUACGGCUGCUAAAAAGAAGGCUAUCAUAGCAUCAGGAUCUAUUAAUAAAGAAAACAAGUCAUGAGAACAGUCUUGCUGUAUUUUGUGGUCAUAUCCCAUCUGGUGCAGUAUUUUCAUGCGGCACUCCUAUUCAUUCCAUUACAGAAAGAUUCGCUUAUCCCUGCCCUCGUGAGUUUUCAUGAAGCUGCACUGAUACACAUGUCCCUGUAAUAACUUUGUGACUAAUAACACCUUUUGCAGACAACCACUGUGAAGGUUUAAGAGAAGGAGGAGAGGGUUCCACUGGGAAUCAGAGGGGGGAAAUGCUAAUUUUGGACUCUGAACUUUAUGGAAUCUGCCAUGUCUUUAUUUUUCAAUUAAAUCUACUUUUAAAAUGCCAUACUCUUUAGCUGUUGUGUUUCAAUUGCCCCCAUUUUCUCGGCCCAGCAGAAAGCCAUUAGGAUUUCACUCAGGUUGACUCUACAUUCUUCAUAAAAUUAACAACUUUGCUCUAAGUCUCUCAAAAAAGGAGUAGAAAUUACUUUUUGAUGUAAAUGCAACCUUUUUUUUCUACUGUGAAGGUAUUCUUCCUGUAUUAGCCAUUUUAACUUUCAUGGAUAAUUGGACAUUAGGAAAAAUUUAGUAUAUGAACUACAAAUAGAUUUGUCC